rnacentral:rRNA from 1 species
ACCCUACGGGGGGCUGCAGUGGGGAAUUUUGGACAAUGGGCGAAAGCCUGAUCCAGCAAUGCCGCGUGUGUGAAGAAGGCCUUCGGGUUGUAAAGCACUUUUGUCCGGAAAGAAAUGGCUCUGGUUAAUACCUGGAGUCGAUGACGGUACCGGAAGAAUAAGGACCGGCUAACUACGUGCCAGCAGCCGCGGUAAUACGUAGGGUCCAAGCGUUAAUCGGAAUUACUGGGCGUAAAGCGUGCGCAGGCGGUUGUGCAAGACCGAUGUGAAAUCCCCGGGCUUAACCUGGGAAUUGCAUUGGUGACUGCACGGCUAGAGUGUGUCAGAGGGGGGUAGAAUUCCACGUGUAGCAGUGAAAUGCGUAGAGAUGUGGAGGAACACCGAUGGCGAAGGCAGCCUCCUGGGCCAGUACUGACGCUCAUGCACGAAAGCGUGGGGAGCAAACAGGAUUAGAUACCCCGGUAGUCA